rnacentral:rRNA from 1 species
CGGCGGGGUAACGGCCCACCGAGGCGACGAUGCGUAGGGGUUCUGAGAGGAAGGUCCCCCACACUGGUACUGAGACACGGACCAGACUCCUACGGGAGGCAGCAGUGAGGAAUAUUGGUCAAUGGGCGGGAGCCUGAACCAGCCAAGUCGCGUGAGGGAAGACGGUCCUAUGGAUUGUAAACCUCUUUUGCCGGGGAGCAACGGGGUCCUUGCGAGGGCCUAAUGAGAGUACCCGGAGAAAAAGCAUCGGCUAACUCCGUGCCAGCAGCCGCGGUAAUACGGAGGAUGCGAGCGUUAUCCGGAUUUAUUGGGUUUAAAGGGUGCGUAGGCGGGCUGUUAAGUCAGCGGUCAAAUGUCGGGGCUCAACCCCGGCCUGCCGUUGAAACUGGUGGCCUCGAGUGGGCGAGAAGUAUGCGGAAUGCGUGGUGUAGCGGUGAAAUGCAUAGAUAUCACGCAGAACUCCGAUUGCGAAGGCAGCAUACCGGCGCCCGACUGACGCUGAGGCACGAAAGCGUGGGUAUCGAACAGGAUUAGAUACCCUGGUAGUCCACGCAGUAAACGAUGAAUGCUAGCUGUCCGGGGCUUCGGUCCUGG